GAUGAACGCUGGCGGCGUGCCUAAUACAUGCAAGUCGAGCGAACAGACGAGGAGCUUGCUCCUCUGACGUUAGCGGCGGACGGGUGAGUAACACGUGGAUAACCUACCUAUAAGACUGGGAUAACUUCGGGAAACCGGAGCUAAUACCGGAUAACAUGUUGAACCGCAUGGUUCAACAGUGAAAGACGGUCUUGCUGUCACUUAUAGAUGGAUCCGCGCCGCAUUAGCUAGUUGGUAAGGUAACGGCUUACCAAGGCAACGAUGCGUAGCCGACCUGAGAGGAUGCACGGCCAAACUGGAACUGGGACACGGUCCGGACACCUAAGGGAGGCCGCAGUAGGGAAUCUUCCGCAAUGGGCGAAAGCCUGACGGAGCAACGCCGCGUGAGUGAAGAAGGUCUUCAGAUCGUAAAACUCUGUUAUUAGGGAAGAACAAAUGUGUAAGUAACUAUGCACGUCUUGACGGUACCUAAUCAGAAAGCCACGGCUAACUACGUG
rnacentral:rRNA from 1 species